rnacentral:rRNA from 1 species
GAUGAACGCUGGCGGCGUGCCUAAUACAUGCAAGUCGAACGGUACUCUUUCGGGAGUACAGUGGCGAACGGGUGAGUAAUACAUAAAGGAACCUGCCCUCGGGGACCGGGAUAGCUGAUGGAAACGUCAGGUAAUAGCGGAUGUGAGUCAUUAUGGCAUCAUGAUGACUUGAAAGGAUGCAGCAAUGCAUCGCGCGGGGAUGGCCUUAUGGCGCAUUAGCCAGUUGGCGGGGUAACGGCCCACCAAAGCGAUGAUGCGUAGCCGAUCUGAGAGGACGACCGGCCACAUCGGGACUGAGACACGGCCCAGACUCCUACGGGAGGCAGCAGUAGGGAAUUUUCGGCAAUGGGCGCAAGCCUGACCGAGCAACGCCGCGUGAGUGUUAAGGCCUUCGGGUU